AGCGAGCUUGCCUAGAUGAAUUUGGUGCUUGCACCAAAUGAAACUAGAUACAAGCGAGCGGCGGACGGGUGAGUAACACGUGGGUAACCUGCCCAAGAGACUGGGAUAACACCUGGAAACAGAUGCUAAUACCGGAUAACAACACUAGACGCAUGUCUAGAGUUUAAAAGAUGGUUCUGCUAUCACUCUUGGAUGGACCUGCGGUGCAUUAGCUAGUUGGUAAGGUAACGGCUUACCAAGGCAAUGAUGCAUAGCCGAGUUGAGAGACUGAUCGGCCACAUUGGGACUGAGACACGGCCCAAACUCCUACGGGAGGCAGCAGUAGGGAAUCUUCCACAAUGGACGCAAGUCUGAUGGAGCAACGCCGCGUGAGUGAAAGAAGGGGUUUCGGGUUCGUAAAGUUCUGUGGGUUAGUGAAGAAAGAUAGAGGUAGUAACUGGCCUUUAUUUGACGGUAAUUACUUAGAAAGUCACGGCUAACUACGUGCCAGCAGCCGCGGUAAUACGUAGGUGGCAAGCGUUGUCCGGAUUUAUUGGGCGUAAAGCGAGUGCAGGCGGUUCAAUAAGUCUGAUGUGAAAGCCUUCGGCUCAACCGGAGAAUUGCAUCAGAAACUGUUGAACUUGAGUGCAGAAGAGGAGAGUGGAACUCCAUGUGUAGCGGUGGAAUGCGUAGAUAUAUGGAAGAACACCAGUGGCGAAGGCGGCUCUCUGGUCUGC
rnacentral:rRNA from 1 species